UACAGAGGUCUCAAGCGUUGUUCGGAUUCAUUGGGCGUAAAGGGUGCGUAGGCGGCGCGGUAAGUCGGGUGUGAAAUCUCGGGGCUUAACUCCGAAACUGCAUUCGAUACUGCCAUGCUUGAGGACUGGAGAGGAGACUGGAAUUUACGGUGUAGCGGUGAAAUGCGUAGAUAUCGUAAGGAAGACCAGUGGCGAAGGCGGGUCUCUGGACAGUUCCUGACGCUGAGGCACGAAGGUCAGGGGAGCAAACGGG
rnacentral:rRNA from 1 species